rnacentral:rRNA from 1 species
AGUGAACGCUGGCGGUAGGCCUAACACAUGCAAGUCGAACGGCAGCACAGUAAGAGCUUGCUCUUACGGGUGGCGAGUGGCGGACGGGUGAGGAAUACAUCGGAAUCUACUUUUUCGUGGGGGAUAACGUAGGGAAACUUACGCUAAUACCGCAUACGACCUACGGGUGAAAGCAGGGGAUCUUCGGACCUUGCGCGAUUGAAUGAGCCGAUGUCGGAUUAGCUAGUUGGCGGGGUAAAGGCCCACCAAGGCGACGAUCCGUAGCUGGUCUGAGAGGAUGAUCAGCCACACUGGGACUGGAACACGGGCCAGACCCCUACGGGAAGCAGCAGUGGGGAAAAUUGGACAAUGGGCGCAAGGCUGAUCCAGCCAAACCGGGUGGGUGGAGAAGGCCUUCGGGUUGUAAAGCCCUUUUGUUGGGGAAGAAAAACAGCAAGGUAAUACCCCCGCUGUUCUGACGGUACCCAAAGAAUAAGCACCGGCUAACUUCGUG